UCGAUACGUAGGGUUGGCUUUUUGGAUCUCAGUUUAUACCAAACAAUGCCUUAGGUCAUCCCUAGGUAUUUCAAUAUUCAUGAAUUUAAUCAAUUAAAUAAUCACAACUUUAAUCAUUUAUUAUUCAUACUAGCAUGCUCGUCUCCCUAUAUUUUCUCUAUCAUUUGGUAUAUUCAAUUACUAACUGCCUAUUUACAGUGAAAAAUAUAGAACUUAGUAAUCUAAUAAUUAAAAAUCUAAAAUUAUUCAUUAUCAUGCCAAAUUUACAAUAAACACGAUUAACCUAAAUACAUGCUCC
rnacentral:lncRNA from 1 species